rnacentral:rRNA from 1 species
UGGGGAAUAUUGCACAAUGGGGGAAACCCUGAUGCAGCGACGCCGCGUGAGUGAAGAAGUGAUUCGUCACGUAAAGCUCUAUCAGCAGGAAAGAAAAUGACGGUACCUGACUAAGAAGCCCCGGCUAACUACGUGCCAGCAGCCGCGGUAAUACGUAGGGGGCAAGCGUUAUCCGGAUUUACUGGGUGUAAAGGGAGCGUAGACGGCAGGGCAAGUCUGAAGUGAAAGCCCGGGGCCCAACCCCGGGACUGCUUUGGAAACUGUCCGGCUGGAGUGCAGGAGGGGUGGGCGGAAUUCCUAGUG